rnacentral:lncRNA from 1 species
ACUCAGUUUCAUGUUGUAUGCAUCCAACAUGAACACCCUCGGGUGAGAAUAAACAAAACCUUGAGUCCACCUCUAACAUCCGUCUUAGAGGUUUACCAACUUGACCCAAUCGAUCCAACUUUCGCCACCGUAUAGGUUCACGUCACUCACGCACCUAUAACCUUAGGGUUCACCGUCCUAGGGUCUCCUAGGUCCAUCCUAAACUCUCUCUUUACUUGCUCUUAAUUGCUCUGAUACCACUUUAUCUGUCACGCCCCGAGACCGCUACCAAUUUGGUCCGGCCCGGGCGCGUCGAACAGACGCCGAACGGACAGGACCUCCCCUGUCCGCCCAAGGCUAACCAACAGAUCAUGUAUAAGAAUUUACCCAGGAAUUAAUUCAUGAAUACACGAUCAAGAAGCACCACCAGUGCAACAAGACGAGAGCAAGAUACAAGUAUAAAAACAUAUACAAGUACAUAAAGAGAGAAGAGGCGAUCUAUUACAUUCAUUCAGCCUUUAUAAUACAAUUUGAUUAUACAUUAAGUUUCUAAACAUAAUAUAAAGCUUACAUCUUCCAAAAGAUAAACAUUAGCUUACAUUCAUUCCAGAAUAUCUCACAUCCUAUACAUCAUCUACUCUCAAUGCAUAUAAAGGUGACUCUAAUGCAGAAAUAGGAAAGUAAACUAAUGCAACUAGGGCGCUAGGCCCUUACCGCGAUCCUCGCCGUGUGAACUCGCGCUCGGCCCUGUAGUAAAANNNNNNNNNNNNNNAGACCGUUUCUUCACUCCACUCUCCUUGAACGCCUCGCGUUCCUGUCUCACUUCCCCAGCUGCCGCAUCGAGUAUCGUAGGACCCGAAGCCGCCAGAGGGACGCUAGCCGGCAGGGGAUGCGUCACCGCCGGAGUCACCAAAAUGCUCACGCCCUCAGGCGCAUCAGGCGCGCGAGCGGAGGGCGCGGGCGGACCAUGGCCUUCAGUUGUCGUCUCGGCCGCCGUCGCCACUUGUCGCUCCAAAAGUUCUUGGAGCCGCUCGAUCUGACUUCCUUGGCGUUGAAUCACGCCGAUAAGCAUAGUCAUCUGCGCUCAUAAUUCUUGCACUUCACUUGACCCAGCUCGCUCAGGCACCUCGGGAGGCGGUGCCGAAACGGUUCUACGCGCGUAGUGUCUCCUUGGUGCCAUUAGCUCCUGAAACACAACGACUCGGUUAAUUACCUUAACCUGCUAACCUCGUCGCAACUAUUAGACGACGCGACUCAAUCGGGCGAAAGUCAUACAAGGGUGCCUAUUCUCACCACUCAGUUUCAUGUUGUAUGCAUCCAACAUGAACACCCUCGGGUGAGAAUAAACAAAACCUUGAGUCCACCUCUAACAUCCGUCUUAGAGGUUUACCAACUUGACCCAAUCGAUCCAACUUUCGCCACCGUAUAGGUUCACGUCACUCACGCACCUAUAACCUUAGGGUUCACCGUCCUAGGGUCUCCUAGGUCCAUCCUAAACUCUCUCUUUACUUGCUCUUAAUUGCUCUGAUACCACUUUAUCUGUCACGCCCCGCGACCGCUACCAAUUUGGCUCGGCCCGGGCGCGUCGAACAGACGCCGGACGGACAGCACCUCCCCUGUCCGCCCAAGGCUAACAACGAGAUUGUGUACAACAAGUUCCCAGGAAAAUAACUUGAAUACAUACACAAUCGAUAACUACAACGAGAGCACAAUCAGUGCAAAACAACCAAGAGCAAGAUACAAGUAUAGAACAUACAAGUAAUGAUAAAGAGAGGAACAUCUAUCUAUUACAUUCAUUCAGCCUUUAUAAUACAACUUGAUUAUACAUUAAGCUUCUAAACAUAAUAUAAAGCUUACAUCUUCCAAAAUAUAAACAUUAGCUUACAUUCAUUCCAGAAUAUCUCACAACCUAUACAUCAUCUACUCUCAAUGUAUAUAAAGGUAACUCUAAUGCAGAAAUAGGAAAGUAAACUAAUGCAACUAGGGCGCUAGGCCCUUACCGCGAUCCUCGCCGUGUGAACUCGCGCUCGGCCCUGUAGUAAAAUGGGGGUGAGAACUAACUUCCUUAGUUCCCAGUGGGUUCGGCCGCCGACUCCGCCGAUCUCCCCACUAGGUCCAAGUUGGGCACAAGUAGAUAAUCGAUAGAUAGAUAGAUAAGGAAAGCGGUAAAUGACAGCAGUAAAGCUACGCUACUAUGCCCAAUCAUAAAUAUAUGAAUGCAUGUACAAUGAAAUGGAUAAACAACAAUCCCAUUAUCAUGUCCAAAGGUAAAGUUAUUUACUCGUUCACCAAUCUCAUUUACUUGUUUCUCAAUCUCGUGGCUUCCCUGAAGGAGCCUACUGCUCACUAGCCAUCUCGAAGGUAGGGAGAGUCAACUCGCACUACGAACCGAGACCGUCUGGCGGGCCCAAAAUAGGCAAUCCCUUGGGACCCGAAAUCGGCAAUCCCACGUGACCAACUCCGGAGCGCACUACUUGUGUGGGGCUUCCAUCACAAGAUUUAAAAACAGACCGUGAGCAUGAUCCAAUCCUCGUCUCGAGAAUACCCUAUCCUCUAGGGUUACAACCAUCAUAUAGUCCAUAGGUUUCAUAUACACUAUGACUCAUAGGUGUCACUUGUUCUUUUGUUUACUAUCAACUAGAUGCCACUCGUUCUUUACAAGUUUCCAAUGCAAUAGCCAAUGCAUUAUUAAAUUCCCAUCCACACUUAUCAUCUCAUUAUAGGGUUCCACAUCACAUAUAUAAACCUCAAGCAUGCUAGAUAUAAGUACUAAGCCAAAUACAUUAUUCUACCAAAGAACAUGCAAGGUAUAGGACCAAACCAUCAUUUAUCACCCUAUAAUGCAAGAUGUCAAUAUGCAAUUUGAUCAAUAUAAAACUUAGACAUAAAAGGGAGCCCGGUUGCUUCGGGAUGGACACCACUCACCUUUAUCGCAUUCCGAUUGCUCGUCGUCACUUGCAAUCGGCCUCCCGCGGCGCACGCCGCUCGGCUUGACCCAAUCCGCGUGCGCGAACACCAAACGACCUCGGAUCCGCGAUCCGAAAAUUAAAGGUCUUCGGUUUCCUAUUACGAUGCUUCAAAUCCGUUUCCAGGAUUUUACGACGUCGCCUUGGCCCUCCAGGCGGAAACGAAGCCUAAACGUCCGUUUCUUUAAUAACUUCGCACCGUCUCGACGAAUCGCCGAACCGUCGCUUCCAACACGUUCAGUGAC